rnacentral:rRNA from 1 species
UACGUAGGGUGCAAGCGUUGUCCGGAAUUAUUGGGCGUAAAGAGCUCGUAGGCGGUUUGUCGCGUCGGCUGUGAAAACUCGGGGCUCAACCCCGAGCCUGCAGUCGAUACGGGCAGACUAGAGUGCUGUAGGGGAGACUGGAAUUCCUGGUGGUAAGCGGUGAAAUGCGCAGAUAUCAGGAGGAACACCGGUGGCGAAGGCGGGUCUCUGGGCAG